rnacentral:rRNA from 1 species
CUUUUACAAUGAAGAGUUUGAUCCUGGCUCAGGAUGAACGCUAGCUACAGGCUUAACACAUGCAAGUCGAGGGGCA